rnacentral:rRNA from 1 species
GACGAACGCUGGCGGCGUACUUAACACAUGCAAGUCGAACGGAAAGGCCCUGCUUUUGUGGGGUGCUCGAGUGGCGAACGGGUGAGUAACACGUGAGUAACCUGCCCUUGACUUUGGGAUAACUUCAGGAAACUGGGGCUAAUACCGGAUAGGAGCUCCUGCUGCAUGGUGGGGGUUGGAAAGUUUCGGCGGUUGGGGAUGGACUCGCGGCUAAUCAGCUUGUUGGUGGGGUAGUGGCUUACCAAGGCUUUGACGGGUAGCCGGCCUGAGAGGGUGACCGGCCACAUUGGGACUGAGAUACGGCCCAGACUCCUACGGGAGGCAGCAGUGGGGAAUAUUGCACAAUGGGCGGAAGCCUGAUGCAGCAACGCCGCGUGCGGGAUGACGGCCUUCGGGUUGUAAACCGCUUUCGCCUGUGACGAAGCGUGAGUGACGGUAAUGGGUAAAGAAGCACCGGCUAACUACGUG